UGUUGCUGGAAGACGUUUGCGAAAUAAGUCCUGCUGAACUGAUGCCAUCUGGGAUAGAGCGUCAGCUUGAUGUCCUAGCAAGAUUCCCUGCUGGGUUACGGCGAGGCGAAGUCCCUCCGGGUCAGCUGGGUCGGGUGUAUGGCCAGAUCGUUCUGUCAUGGCUCGCUAACUUGGCGGACCCAGUUGCUGGAACCCGAAGGAGGACAGGAGGAGGGCGGCGAAGCUGGAGGGACGUCGAAGUUCCGAAGCGAGACGUGGAAGUGCGGCUGCGGCUCCCGACGUGGUUUCGGCUCGGCUGUGGCUCUUGGCGUGGCUUCGGCUCGGCUGUGGCUCUUGGCGUGGCUUCGGCUCGGCUGUGGCUCUUUGGCUUGGCUGGAGG